rnacentral:rRNA from 1 species
UACGUAGGGUGCAAGCGUUGUCCGGAAUUAUUGGGCGUAAAGAGCUCGUAGGCGGUCUGUCGCGUCGGAUGUGAAAAUCAAGGGCUCAACCCUGGACCUGCAUUCGAUACGGGCAGACUAAGAGUUCGGUAGGGGAGACUGGAAUUCCUGGUGUAGCGGUGAAAUGCGCAGAUAUCAGGAGGAACACCGGUGGCGAAGGCGGGUCUCUGGGCCGAAACUGACGCUGAGGAGCGAAAGCGUGGGGAGCAAACAGG